GGACGAAAGUCUGACGGAGCAACGCCGCGUGAGUGAUGAAGGUUUUCGGAUCGUAAAACUCUGUUGUUAGGGAAGAACAAGUACCGUUCGAAUAGGGCGGUACCUUGACGGUACCUAACCAGAAAGCCACGGCUAACUACGUGCCAGCAGCCGCGGUAAUACGUAGGUGGCAAGCGUUGUCCGGAAUCAUUGGGCGUAAAGCGCGCGCAGGUGGUUCCUUAAGUCUGAUGUGAAAGCCCCCGGCUCAACCGGGGAGGGUCAUUGGAAACUGGGGAACUUGAGUGCAGAAGAGGAAAGUGGAAUUCCACGUGUAGCGGUGAAAUGCGUAGAGAUGUGGAGGAACACCAGUGGCGAAGGCGACUUUCUGGUCUGUAACUGACACUGAGGCGCGAAAGCGUGGGGAGCGAACAGGAUUAGAUACCCUGGUAGUCCACGCCGUAAACGAUGAGUGCUAAGUGUUAGGGGGUUUCCGCCCCUUAGUGCUGCAGCAAACGCAUUAAGCACUCCGCCUGGGGAG
rnacentral:rRNA from 1 species